rnacentral:lncRNA from 1 species
UGGAGUGCUCAGAUGAAACUUCCGAAAAGGCCUGAGGAAGGCAAAUAGGACCAGCCAAUCUGACUCGUAGCAUGUGACUUGCAAUUUGGGCUCAUGGACUCCUCCAAGGUGGCAAAGGGCAUUCUCAACUCCAGCUUCAGCCCCUUCUGAAGACAUCUGCAAACUCCAGUGUCCAAAUCUUCAGACACCCAGAGAGAAUGAAGCAACCUGGCUCUGUGAGGAUGUUUAGUGGCUCAGCUGCAGCCCUAGAAGCAAAGGUGAUUGCGUAAUAGGAACCACUGGACUGUCUGGAAAUGAUUCUCAACCUAGCAACUGGUCUUUCUGCUAAAGACCCAGGGAUCUGCCUACCUGCUCACCUCUGCCACUCAUGUUCUAUGCAGCAUCCCAAGGGACCCCUGACAGGUGCCAGCUGCACAGCGUUCUUUCAGGUGCCGUUCUCAUGAGUGCCUGCAUUGGGUGAGCUGCUUCAUCCUCCGAGGGAGGACUCUUUCCUUCUCUCUCUCACUCCCUUGCUCCCUCCCUCCCUCCAUCCUCCUGCCCUAUCUCACUCCCAGAUUCCUUGAACAUACUGAUCUAUCUGUGCUGCACACUCACCUAUGGAAAGAAUAGCAUCCUGUGACCCAUUACACACUCAGUCUGGUGCUGAGGCUGGGCUCUGUCAGUUCCUUGGUAGUGAGUGUUCUCUCCUGUGGUCGCUUUAAAACACAGUCAUGAAAUUCUUUAGUAUUGUUCCAUUUAGAGAUGGGGGUCUAUGACCCGUCUCCUUGAAUAUGGACUCCACAGCUACUUAACCGGUAGAAUAUGGUGGAAAUGACACUGUAUUAGUUUCCAGAUCUAGGCCUUAGAAAACUAGCGUCUGC